rnacentral:lncRNA from 1 species
AUGCCUCUAUAGUGAUGUUUUUAUAGCUGGUUGUUUGCUUUAUGUGAGCCUUUUGAACUGCCAAAAAUGUGUAACAUACUGCAACUGUUGAUUCUCUGAUUCAAUGCAUUGAAGCUGCCAAUGAAUAUUGCCAUAAUACCACAUCUGUUUUCGUUUGGGAUUCUUUUUGUAAUCAAUGGCUCUUUCUCUAUAGAUUAGUCUCAUAAGUGUUGUGUUAUUUAGCUGCUUGCCUUUCUGAUUGCUAUAACCAUUUAUUUGUUAUAUUAUGGCCAUUAUGUAUUAUUGUAACUGAAAUGAUAAUGAUUUCAAAUUACUUCUGCUUAGUGCUGUCCUUUGGGAUUUUAUUAACUGAUAAUUUAUGGCUGGUGUGAUGUGUUUGAAAUACUCUUUUGAGUUCUGUUGCUUGCGUGUAUCUGUUCUUGAAUUCCUGUGAUGCACGUAUUAUAUGAUUUAUGCUUGCUUCAAUGUGUUACGUGCUCUCUGAGUUGUUAUGUUCAUAUGAACUUUUCUUCUGUUGCUCCUUCUUUUACUCAUCAUAAUUAGUUCUUCAAGUGUUGGUGGCCUCCUAACCAUGUCACUGAUAUUAUUAUCUUCAGGAGUUUGUUCUUUUUGAU